GACGAACGCUGGCGGCGUGCUUAACACAUGCAAGUCGAACGGAAAGGCCCUGCUCUUGUGGGGUGCUCGAGUGGCGAACGGGUGAGUAACACGUGAGUAACCUGCCCUUGACUUUGGGAUAACUUCAGGAAACUGGGGCUAAUACCGGAUAGGAGCUCCUGCUGCAUGGUGGGGGUUGGAAAGUUUCGGCGGUUGGGGAUGGACUCGCGGCUUAUCAGCUUGUUGGUGGGGUAGUGGUUUACCAAGGCUUUGACGGGUAGCCGGCCUGAGAGGGUGACCGGCCACAUUGGGACUGAGAUACGGCCCAGAAUCCUACGGGAGGCAGCAGUGGGGAACAUUGCACAAUGGGCGGAAGCCUGAUGCAGCAACGCCGCGUGCGGGAUGACGGCCUUCGAGUUGUAAACCGCUGUCGCCGGUGACGAAGCGUGAGUGACGGUAAUGGGUAAGGAAGCACCGGCUAACUACGUG
rnacentral:rRNA from 1 species